AUGAGAUGAGAUCUACACUAAGAUGAUUUACACCCACUGAAAUGAAACUCUCAAACAUCCAGCUAUGAAAGACCAUGUAAAAAAAAACCUGGUAUUGUUUAUUUAAAAAAAAAAAGUUAAACAUAUUCCCCACACACAGGCUUCCGGCAGACGAAAAAGACACUAUCGUACUCGUAUUUGAGCAUGGAGCGGACGUUUUGAGAGUAGGUGGUUUUCACCCCAGUUCGCUCUUUCUGUCGAAUCAAAAUGAAAAGAUUAAUUAAGA